AGGAAGCAUGCGUGAGCCAGCACACCGUGAGGCCUGAGUGAGGUCUUUCAGAAGUCUGGGAAGGGGGAAGGUGAAGCUCGUAGCCGCAGCACCCUGGACCUCGUGGAGCCCCUCCUUAGAGGUUGUCAAGAUAGCUGCAACUGCCCACAGACAAGGGGGCCAUCCUUGUGUUGUUUGAUCAAACCUUUUGGAAAGUGAGCUUCAUAAUUCCUUGUUCAUAGAAGGACCUGUCU